GACAGAGGGUGCAAACGUUGCUCGGAAUCACUGGGCGUAAAGGGCGUGUAGGCGGGAAGGAAAGUCAGAUGUGAAAUCCCCAGGCUCAACCUGGGAACUGCAUUUGAAACUCCCUUUCUUGAGUACCGGAGAGGAAAGUGGAAUUCCUGGUGUAGCGGUGAAAUGCGCAGAUAUCAGGAGGAACACCGGUGGCGAAGGCGGAUCUCUGGGCCUUACCUGACGCUCAGGUGCGAAAGCUAGGGGAGCGAACAGG
rnacentral:rRNA from 1 species